rnacentral:rRNA from 1 species
AGAAUCAACGCUGGCGGCGUGCCUAACACAUGCAAGUCGAACGAGAAAGUGGGAGCAAUCCCAUGAGUAAAGUGGCGCACGGGUGAGUAACACGUGACUAACCUACCCUUGAGUGGGGGAUAACCUAGGGAAACCUGGGCUAAUACCGCAUAAUACCUACGGGUCAAAGGAGCAAUUCGCUUUAGGAGGGGGUCGCGGCAGAUUAGAUAGUUGGCGGGGUAAUGGCCCACCAAGUCAGUGAUCUGUA